GCCGGGAUGGUGGAAUUGGUAGACACGCAAGACUUAAAAUCUUGUGGCCUCACGGCCGUGCGGGUUCGAUUCCCGCUCCUGGUA
rnacentral:tRNA from 1 species